rnacentral:rRNA from 1 species
UACGUAGGGGGCAAGCGUUGUCCGGAUUUAUUGGGUUUAAAGGGAGCGUAGGCGGCUUAGUAAGUCAGAAGUGAAAGCCCGCAGCUCAACUGCGGGACUGCUUUUGAAACUGCCAGGCUAGAGUGUCGGAGAGGUAAGUGGAAUUCCUAGUGUAGCGGUGAAAUGCGUAGAUAUUAGGAGGAACACCAGUGGCGAAGGCGGCUUACUGGACGAUGACUGACGCUGAGGCUCGAAAGCGUGGGUAUCGAACAGG